rnacentral:rRNA from 1 species
AUGAACGCUGGCGGCGUGCCUAAUACAUGCAAGUCGAGCGAACGGACGAGAAGCUUGCUUUUCUGAUGUUAGCGGCGGACGGGUGAGUAACACGUGGAUAACCUACCUAUAAGACUGGGAUAACUUCGGGAAACCGGAGCUAAUACCGGAUAAUAUUUUCAACCGCAUGGUUCAAAAGUGAAAGACGGUCUUGCUGUCACUUAUAGAUGGAUCCGCGCUGCAUUAGCUAGUUGGUAAGGUAACGGCUUACCAAGGCAACGAUGCAUAGCCGACCUGAGAGGGUGAUCGGCCACACUGGAACUGAGACACGGUCCAGACUCCUACGGGAGGCAGCAGUAGGGAAUCUUCCGCAAUGGGCGAAAGCCUGACGGAGCAACGCCGCGUGAGUGAUGAAGGUCUUCGGAUCGUAAAACUCUGUUAUUAGGGAAGAACAUAUGUGUAAGUAACUGUGCACAUCUUGACGGUACCUAAUCAGAAAGCCACGGCUAACUACGUG